GUGGGGAAUAUUGCGCAAUGGGCGAAAGCCUGACGCAGCGACGCCGCGUGAGGGAUGAAGGUUUUCGGAUCGUAAACCUCUGUCAGAAGGGAAGAAACUACGUUGUGCUAAUCAGCAGCGUACUGACGGUACCUUCAAAGGAAGCACCGGCUAACUCCGUGCCAGCAGCCGCGGUAAUACGGAGGGUGCAAUCGUUAAUCGGAAUUACUGGGCGUAAAGCGCACGUAGGCUGUAGUGUAAGUCAGGGGUGAAAUCCCACGGCUCAACCGUGGAACUGCCUUUGAUACUGCACAACUUGAAUCCGGGAGAGGGUGGCGGAAUUCCAGGUGUAGGAGUGAAAUCCGUAGAUAUCUGGAGGAACAUCAGUGGCGAAGGCGGCCACCUGGACCGGUAUUGACGCUGAGGUGCGAAAGCGUGGGGAGCAAACAGGAUUAGAAACCCCGGUAGUCC
rnacentral:rRNA from 1 species